CUGAAUUUCAGAAAAGAGAUUACACGCAGAGAGAGGCCGAGCCCGAGAAGAGAACGAAGCAAAAUAAAGGGUACAAUGAAAGAGGAGGAAAAAAGAGAAAGGCAAGAACCGGUGUCGCGAGGAGCAAGUCGUCGAGACGUCUUCAUCGUUCCACGAUUCGAAGCCGUUCGUCAUUUCCGGUGGGCAAGACUCGCGGCUAUCUCUCGCGAGUCGAUCGUCGAAUUUGUUUUGCAAUCCCGGCGCCUCGUUUAUCGUCGGUACACAUCGUGUACCGUCCCAGAGAUAGAAGACCUCGUUUCUCCGGGGUCCGUCCGGGGUUUCGUCCGGUCGGCGAAAGGGAAUGCAUCGAACGGCCGGUCCCUUUUUCGCGUUUCCUGACCGGUAUCUGCACGUGUAAGGACAGGGCAAAGCAGAUAGCGGCGUGGCGAGCGUGUCGAUCCGUUUAUCGAGCCGUGUAUUUACGCGCGGCGUGACUCGUAGACGCGCGUUCGCCAGAUAACCGCGAUAAUAUAGAAACGCCAAUAAUGAAAUACGAUAAGCCGGGCGCGGAAUUUGUAUACGACGGCCCGUCGUGGAUUAAAGAGCUGUUAGCAUAAUCUGAACGACUCUAUACCCAACAAACAGGCGCACGGGGGCAAUUAGAAACGCUUCUCGUUCGUUCGUCGCACACCGCUGCGUGUACAUAAUAUCCACGUACGCGGGCCGUAUACACAUCGAGACGCGUACAACGGCGUACUCGAAGAUCGAGAUACGCAAGUAUUAUGCGCCAUUUGCUCGAUAAACCUUUCGCGCGGUUUCCUCUUCCCCGCGAAUAAAUUACGCGACGAUCGGCUGCGACACGCGUCCCGCGUCCAAUUCUUUUAUUCCCUUUUCGAAAUCGAAGAUUCGACUCGGUUUCGUUGGACGUCCGCUAAUCGUCUCGUUUUACGCUACAUCGUGCUUGUCGCUCACUCGACGGGACCCUUCUUCCCUCACCCUCCUCCGUAUCCCCUCCCUUUCCACCGUAGUUUUAUCUCUGCCCGCCAGGGGGACGGGAACACGCGUCGUCGCAGGACUCGGGUAGGGAGCAAAGUCAAUUUCGAGGCGAGAUGCCACGGGGUUAAUGGGCCUCCUUUGUCGUAAAUUCGGGCUUUAGUGUGAAAGCUGCCUAAACCUACCUCCGUUGCUCCUUCCUCGCCGGAGGAGUCCCCUUCGCUUCGUGCCUCUGGGAGCCUUGUAACAAACAGGAUACAGCUAUCUCUCUUCCGCCCCCUCCAUCUGUCGGCAUCGCCUGCCGCCACAUCGUCGAGCGAUUUAUUAUCCGACCGUUCCACCUCGGGCACCGUUCUGCUUAGCCGCUGUUUUUUAUUCCCGGUGAAUAAGGGGAGUGAGGGAGCCGGGAAGAAGCCGGAGUGUGAGGGAAGGAACGGGAAACACGGCGGAAACUGGAGAACCGGAGGAGAGAGGAGCCGGUGGAAAAGAAGAUAAAUCGCGACAGUUGCCAACCUAAGAAGUUUGAUUAUGUUGGCUCAGCCGAGGCUACGCUCGGUUAGAUUUGUAUUAAGCUCGCGCCCGCCCAGCGUCGACGGGAAUAUGCUUUAUAAGCGUAUCGUGGCGUGCUCGAGCGCUUGCGAAAAUCUUAGAUGGUCGAAAACAGGGGAGGGGAACGUGGUUAUUAAAAUGCAGAAAGAGAUAGGAGAGAGAUGUCGUGAGAUCGUUCUUUUCGCCCUCGUCAAAAAUCCUCGUGGAAUAUUGUUUUUGUUAGGGGAGAUUACGUUACAAGAUAAUUCAAAACAUUUGUUACUAGUUACACAUGGUUGUCGCGUGGGUGGUGUAGGUGUUUAGUCUGGGGAAUGUUUAUAGAUCCCUUCCAUAGUUUCCACUCUGUGAAGUGGAGUUUAUGCGUAAACGAUAGGGUCUUGACAGAUCGUCUAUUCUUGGUAUACGAAAGUGUGAACACUUGAAAGCACUUCCCGUUUCUAAGAUACGCGUUCUUAAGAUUAUAUAGAAACAAAAAAAAAAAA